UACGAAAGGGGCAAGCGUUGUUCGGAUUUACUGGGCGUAAAGCGUGCGCAGGCGGCCCGUUAAGACAGGUGUGAAAUCCCUGGGCUCAACCUAGGAAUUGCGCUUGUGACUGGCGGGCUCGAGUACGGUAGAGGGGGGUGGAAUUCCUGGUGUAGCAGUGAAAUGCGUAGAGAUCAGGAGGAACACCGAUGGCGAAGGCAGCCCCCUGGGCCUGUACUGACGCUCAUGCACGAAAGCGUGGGGAGCAAACAGG
rnacentral:rRNA from 1 species